rnacentral:tRNA from 1 species
ACCUGGGUAGCUCAGUCAGUUAAGCAACUGACUUUGACUCAGGUCAUUAUCUCCUGGUUGUGGGUUCGAGCCCCACAUCAGGCU